AGAUCUAAUAGCAUAUUAAAUCACAUCAUAAAGAACAUGGCUCUGAUAUCAAUUGAAGAAAAUACUGGCAGUGCUAUGCAUGCAAUUUAAAAAAUUUUAUGCAACAAAACUAUAAGAUUAAAUAAUUUAAUCUAAAUUAUAUACAUAAAAUCUAAUCUAGACUAUCAUACCAAGAUAAAUACUAUGAUUUAACAUGCACAGG
rnacentral:lncRNA from 1 species